UACAACAUUUAGUAAACUUAGCCAUACUGAGAACUACAGAGAGAGUUUAGUGGAGCUGACAGGCCUAAUUAGCUUUGUAUCAACUCAUUUAGAAUUGGCUUGAAA